UAGUAAUCGCAGAUCAGAAUGCUGCGGUGAAUGCGUUCCCGGGUCUUGUACACACCGCCCGUCACACCACGGGAGUUGGAGACGCCCGAAGCCGAUUAUCUAACCUUUUGGAAGAAGUCGUCGAAGGUGGAAUCAAUAACUGGGGUGAAGUCGUAACAAGGUAGCCGUAUCGGAAGGUGCGGCUGGAUCACCUCCUUU
rnacentral:rRNA from 2 species